AUUUCGUCCUCAAAGUUUAUCUAGUGAGAUUAUCUUUUUCUUCGGCGCCUCGCAUGUUUCUGUAAUGGCGCCGGGUAGUCAAUGAGGCCAAGUUUUAUUGUUUUUCGAGGAAAGCACUCUGUUUUCACACCUGCUCUAUCCAUGAAAC
ensembl:ncRNA F23H12.19 ncRNA